UGACCUCAAAUCAGGUAGGACUACCCGCUGAACUUAAGCAUAUCAAUAAGCGGAGGAAAAGAAACUAACAAGGAUUCCCCUAGUAACUGCGAGUGAAGAGGGAAAAGCUCAAAUUUAAAAUCUGGCAGCUUCGCUGUCCGAGU
rnacentral:rRNA from 1 species